GACGAACGCUGGCGGCGUGCUUAACACAUGCAAGUCGAACGGAAAGGCCCUGCCUUUGUGCGGUGCUCUAGUUGCGAACGGGUGAGUUACACGUGAGUAACCUGCCCCUGACUUUGGGAUAACUUCAGGAAGCUGGGUCUAAUACCGGAUAGGAGCUCCUGCUGCUUGGUGGGGGCUGGAUAGUUUCGGCGGUUGGGGAUGGACUCGCGGCUUAUCAGCUUGUUGGUUGGGUAGUGGCUUACCAAGGCUUUGACGGGUAGCCGGCCUGAGAGGGUAACCCGCCAAAUUGGGACUGAGAUACGGCACAGACUCCUACGGGAGGCAGGAGUGGGGAAUAGUGCACAAUGGGCGGAAGCCUGAUGCAGCAACGCCGCGUGCGGGAUGACAGCCUUCGGGUUGUAAACCGCAUUCGCCUGUGACGAAGCGUGAGUGACGGUAAUGGGUAAAGAAGCACCGGCUAACUACGUG
rnacentral:rRNA from 1 species